rnacentral:miRNA from 1 species
UGGACCGUGUUUAAGUAAGAA